AGAGUUUGAUCCUGGCUCAGAACGAACGCUGGCGGCGUGCCUAACACAUGCAAGUCAAACGAGAAAGGGGCUUCGGCUCUGAGUAAAGUGGCGCACGGGUGAGUAACACGUAGGUAACCUGCCUCUAAGAUUGGGAUAACUCGUCGAAAGAUGGGCUAAUACCGAAUGAGACCACGGGUCUUUUAGGGAUCUGAGGUCAA
rnacentral:rRNA from 1 species